rnacentral:rRNA from 1 species
AACGCUGCGGGCACGCUUAACACAUGCAAGUCGAGCGAUGCAAAGAUUAGCAAUAGUUUUUGUAGAGCGGCGGACGGGUGAGGAAUGUGUAGGAAUCUGCAACGAAGAGGGGGAUAACUUGAGGAAACUCAAGCUAAUACCGCGUAAGAUGGAUAUGUUGAGAGAUAUGUUCAUGAAAGAUGGGGAUCCGCAAGGACCUAUCGCUUUGAGAUGAGCCUACAUUGGAUUAGCUAGUUGGUAGGGUAAAGGCCUACCAAGGCAAUGAUCUAUAGCUGGUUUGAGAGGACGAUCAGCCACACUGGGACUGAGACACGGCCCAGACUCCUACGGGAGGCAGCAGUGGGGAAUUUUGGACAAUGGGGGAAACCCUGAUCCAGCGAUGCCGCGUGUGUGAAGAAGGCCUUCGGGUUGUAAAGCACUUUAGUUGGGGAAGAGAGGAAGUAUGCGAAUAGUGUAUUUCUGAGACAUUACCCAAAGAAUAAGCACCGGCAAACUCUGUGCCAGCAGCCGCGGUAAUACAGAGGGUGCAAGCGUUAAUCGGAGUGAUUGGGCGUAAAGGGCGCGUAGGCGGUGAGCUAAGUUAGUUGUGAAAUACCAGAGCUUAACUUUGGGGAGUCAACUAAGACUGGCACACUAGAGUACAGUAGAGGGGAGUGGAAUUUCCGGAGUAGCGGUGAAAUGCGUAGAUACCGGAAGGAACACCAGAGGCGAAGGUGACUCUCUGGGCUGUAACUGACGCUGAGGCGCGAAAGCGUGGGUAGCAAACAGGAUUAGAUACCCUGGUAGUCCACGCUGUAAACGAUGAGUACUAGCUGUUUUUUUGAAAGAAGAAGUAGCGCAGCAAACGCGAUAAGUACUCCGCCUGGGGAAUACGGUCGCAAGAU